UACGGGAGUGGCAAGCGUUAUCCGGAAUUAUUGGGCGUAAAGCGUCCGCAGGCGGUCUUACAAGUCUGUCGUUAAAGCGUGGAGCUUAACUCCAUUUCAGCGAUGGAAACUGUAAGACUAGAGUGUGGUAGGGGCAGAGGGAAUUCCCGGUGUAGCGGUGAAAUGCGUAGAUAUCGGGAAGAACACCAGUGGCGAAGGCGCUCUGCUGGGCCAUAACUGACGCUCAUGGACGAAAGCCAGGGGAGCGAAAGGGAUUAGAUACCCCUGUAGUCCUGGCCGUAAACGAUGAACACUAGGUGUCGGGGGAAUCGACCCCCUCGGUGUCGUAGCCAACGCGUUAAGUGUUCCGCCUGGGGAGUACGCACGCAAGUGUGAAACUCAAAGGAAUUGACGGGGGCCCGCACAAGCGGUGGAGUAUGUGGUUUAAUUCGAUGCAACGCGAAGAACCUUACCAGGGUUUGACAUCCUGCGAAUCCCUUGGAAACGAGGGAGUGCCUUCGGGAACGCAGUGACAGGUGGUGCAUGGCUGUCGUCAGCUCGUGUCGUGAGAUGUUGGGUUAAGUCCCGCAACGAGCGCAACCCACGUCUUUAGUUGCCAGCAUUUAGUUGGGCACUCUAGAGAGACUGCCGGUGAUAAACCGGAGGAAGGUGUGGAUGACGUCAAGUCAUCAUGCCCCUUACAUCCUGGGCUACACACGUACUACAAUGCUACGGACAAAGGGCAGCAAACUCGCGAGAGCUAGCAAAUCCCAUAAACCGUGGCUCAGUUCAGAUCGUAGGCUGCAACUCGCCUACGUGAAGGAGGAAUCGCUAGUAAUCGCAGGUCAGCAUACUGCGGUGAAUACGUUCCCGGGCCU
rnacentral:rRNA from 1 species